rnacentral:rRNA from 1 species
UACGAAGGGGGCUAGCGUUGCUCGGAAUCACUGGGCGUAAAGGGCGCGUAGGCGGGUCGUCAAGUUGGGGGUGAAAGCCCGGGGCUCAACCUCGGAAUUGCCUUCAAAACUGACGACCUAGAGUAUGGCAGAGGUGUGUGGAACUCCGAGUGUAGAGGUGAAAUUCGUAGAUAUUCGGAAGAACACCAGUGGCGAAGGCGACACACUGGGCCAUUACUGACGCUGAGGCGCGAAAGCGUGGGGAGCAAACAGG